AAUCAACGCUGGCGGCGUGCCUAACACAUGCAAGUCGAACGAGAAGGUGACUUCGGUCACUGGAUAGUGGCGUCCGGGUGAGUAACACGUAGGUAAUCUACCUUCGGGUGGGGAAUAACGUCUCGAAAGAGACGCUAAUACCGCAUAAUGCAGCGGCACCUAAUGGUGAUUAGUUGUUAAAGCGGGGAGUCUUCGGACCUCGCGCCUGAAGAGGAGCCUGCGGCAGAUUAGCUAGUUGGUGAGGUAAUGGCUCACCAAGGCUUCGAUCUGUAGCUGGUCUGAGAGGACGGCCAGCCACACUGGCACUGACACACGGGCCAGACUCCUACGGGAGCAGCAGUGGGGAAUUUUGGGCAAUGGGCGAAAGCCUGACCCAGCAACGCCGCGUGAAGGAGGAAAUCCUUCGGGA
rnacentral:rRNA from 1 species